rnacentral:rRNA from 1 species
UACGGAGGAUCCGAGCGUUAUCCGGAUUUAUUGGGUUUAAAGGGUGCGCAGGCGGGAUGUUAAGUCGGCGAUGAAAUUUUGCAGCUCAACUGUAAAAGUGCCUUCGAUACUGGCUUCCUUGAGUGUGGAUGAAGUAGGCGGAAUUUGUGGUGUAGCGGUGAAAUGCUUAGAUAUCACGAGGAACUCCGAUUGCGCAGGCAGCUUACUAAACCACUACUGACGCUCAUGCACGAAGGCGUGGGGAUCAAACAGGAUUAGA